rnacentral:tRNA from 1 species
UCCCUGGUGGCUCAGAUGGUAAAGCAUCUGCCUGCAAUGCAGGAGACCCGGGUUCGAUUCCUGGGUUGGGAA